CAGUGCUUAAGAACGUCCCUCGGGUGGCAACAGGGUGACACAGCAGACUGACAAACAGAAAACACCUGCCAGCUCUUCCUGCCAGCCUGUGCUGAUAUGUGGCACUCCUAACUCGAUCACGGUCACGAACAAGACACCUGCAGUCUACAGAAAGGAGGAAGCUGCCAAGUUUCUCCCAUGGUUCCUUCCCCAAGCAGCUGUGUUGUAGGCCAUGUGAGGAAGCAGGGAUGAGAAAAACCUCUUUGCAUUCUGGAGGAACACGAGAGGCGCUGACUGAAACACAACCUUUGCAUCAUGUAUUCCUGCAGCCUGAGACGGUGCGCGUGGAGGAAAUACAGACGGCUGGUUCGACAGGAUGGAUCCAAAUGAUGAGUGAUGAUUAUCUGGAGUGAGAAAGAUGACAGCAGGCCCCAGACGCUCACCAGACGUCUCCUGGCUUGGGAGUUUGACAUGACACACCACCAACAGUUAGUGUGUCUGCGUGUGUGCACAUGGAGGUGCGAUGAAAACUGAAGAUUAAACAUUGUGAGUGCCGCAAAUGCAAGAAACUUGAGUGAAGGGAGGCGGCAGGGUGAAUUCAGUCAGGGUGCAUCAACUGGACAGCUGCAGAUGUCAGGACAUGAGAGUA